UUUAACUGAAGAGUUUGAUCAUGGCUCAGAUUGAACGCUGGCGGCAGGCUUAACACAUGCAAGUCGAGCGGGGGAAGGUAGCUUGCUACUGGACCUAGCGGCGGACGGGUGAG
rnacentral:rRNA from 1 species